ensembl:lncRNA
CGCAGAUGUGCACGCAUGCAUAUCGCAUACCUGCAUCCAUAGGAAUGUGCGCAGGUGUGCACGCAUGCAUAUCGCAUACCUGCAUCCAUAGGAAUGUGCGCAGAUGUGCACGCAUGCAUAUCGCAUACCUGCAUCCAUAGGAAUGUGCACAGAUGUGCACGCAUGCAUAUCGCAUACCUGCAUCCAUAGGAAUGUGCACAGAUGUGCACGCAUGCAUAUCGCAUACCUGCAUCCAUAGGAAUGUGCGCAGAUGUGCACGCAUGCAUAUCGCAUACCUGCAUCCAUAGGAAUGUGCACAGGUGUGCACGCAUGCAUAUCGCAUACCUGCAUCCAUAGGAAUGUGCGCAGAUGUGCACGCAUGCAUAUCGCAUACCUGCAUCCAUAUGCACACGCACACCCAUUGCACACACGUGCAUAUAUGCACACGCACCCUUGCAUGCAGAUACACGUGCUUGCACACAUGUAUACACACACGCAUACAUAUAUACCUACCUACAGACGUGUACUCACACGUGCCGUGUGAGUGCAUGCACGUUCGGGAGGGCUGGGUGAAAGAAACAGGGCAGAACGCCGACCCUUGGUAACGGGUGAAGCCUGGCGAAGGAGACGGGUUACGUGACAUCAUUCUCUUGACUUUGAGCUUCUUUGCAAACAUAAUUUUGAAAAACGUGGUGUUCUGGAAAAUGUCGCACGAGGACACUUGAUUCUGCGAGCUGUGCCCUCGCAGGCUGGGCUCCGUCUCCCUUCGGAAACGCAGAGGACGGAAGGAACCCCUGCUCUCAGCCCAGCUCUUCUUUCUUCUCCCUCUUCUUUCCAUUUUUUUUUAUUAUUAUCGUGGCAAAAUACACACAGCAUAAUCAACCGCCUUUUUUUUUUUUUUUUAAAUAAAUGAUCGGCUCGUGCGUAGAACUCAGUAGGAGUCUUGGGCUCGCUCCCACCCCAUCGGAUGCUUUUGGAGAAUUUACGCUAAAACCUCAGGGGGAUGGCUCCUCCCAGGGGUCCAUCCUUCCAUAAAUAUUUUCUACGUCUGCCUUUGAAAUACCUCCUCCGUUUUCUUCAUCCCGAGAAGAUUUAAGGGACACCCUGGGGGCAGCAGAGAAAGGUGCCCUCAAGCACGGUUGGCGACAGGGUUUGGAUCCCGGGUGCAGACAUGGUCCCACUUGGCAAAGCCAUGCUGUGGUGGGCAUCCCACAUAUAAAGUAGAGGAAGAUGGGCACGGAUGUGAGCUCAGGGCCAGUCUUCCCCAGCAAAAAAAAAAAAAAAAAAAGGGAGGAUUGGCAGCACAUGUUAGCUCAGGGCCAGUCUUCCUCAGCAAAAAAAAAAAAAAAAAAAAAAAGAGGAGGAUUGGCAGCACACGUUAGCUCAGGGCCAGUCUUCCUCAGCAAAAAGAGGAGGAUUGGCAGUACUUAGCUCAGGGCUAAUCUUCCUCAAAAAAAAAGAAAAAAAGGUGUGUGGGGCUGGAUGGACAUGGACGGGGAUGGUGGAGGAGGGACUCAGGGUACCUGCGUCCUGCCCUCCCACCUCACAGCCCCUGUGGGGACGGCAACAGGGAUGCACAAAGGGGCCCUUUGAGAUCUGCUCCCAGGCUGAUGGCUCAGGGGCUGGGGGGCCUCGGGGAACUGGGCCCUGGGCCCACGGCCGCGACCUCAGCCCCGGCUCCAUGAGGGAACCCGCGAGAACAUCGCUGACCUCUGGGUCCCACAUGUGCAUCACCGCCCCGUCUGCAGGAAUCAAGACCUGGUUUGUGGGACUAGCCGAGGCUUUGUGGGGGUCUCCCAGCACAAAAGGUUAAGACAAAAAAGGGGGAGAUGACAGUGCUGUCAAAACACAUAAUAGGAUGCCACACGGAUGUAGACACACAUAUAUACCAUACGAGUACACAUACAUAGAUACAUGUCUAUAUUCACAUAUGUGUGUUAGUCUGGGGACAUUUCUGGUUGUCACAACUGGACAGGGUGCUCCUGACAUAUGUGGGUGGAGACCAGAGACGCUGCUCCACACCCUACAGCGCACAGCACAGGGACGGCCCAGCACAGAGAGUGGUCCAGCCUCAAAGUCAGUAGUGAUGAGGCUGAGAAAUAUUAAUCUAGCAUGAGAGAUGAAUAUCUAUCUAUCAAUAAUAUCUAUCUACCUAUCAUCUAUCUACC